GUUGGGUUGGGUUGGGUUGGGUUGGGUUGGGUUGGGUUGGGUGGGGUGCAACAGUGUUUUGGCAUGGUGAUGGUUAUGGUAUGGGCUAGGUCGGGACAGGACCUCACAGACUUGCCUUCAUCCUCAUAGACUUGCCUACAUACUACUCUUUCUCUUGGUUCCUCAUGGGGGGAAAAAAAGGCUUCUACAAGAGAGAACCCAACAGAACACAUUUUCAUGUCAGGCCUACUUUGCUCUUUUAUACAGUCAUUUUAAUGUGCAUACAACGCUAUAGGGCUCCUGAAUUAUGAAAUUUGAUCAAUACAAAUGUAUAUUAUUGGUAAUUUAAUUGAUGCUGCUUCAAGGGAAUUUUGAGAACCAUAUGACAUGACCUUACAGUAAAGUCCCCACAUGGUAAAAUGACUAUUUGUGCCACUGUAGUAAAUAUUUUAGGAGCUGAUAAAAUAGCAGUAGGUACACUGUAGGAUGAUAGAUGGGUAGCAUAUUUAAUGGGUACAUUGUUACAAUGGGGAUGGUUUUUAGAUUGUGACAAGUAACCUCAACAUCAAUGGUAAUUUGUUAAUUAAGAUGCUAGUUACUCCAUGUCUUGACCUAGAAACUCAGUCUUGAAAUAAAACUCUCCCUUUCCUCUUUUCAAUAAAAAAAGUAAUUGCUUAUGGAUACUCCCCUCAUACAACUAUUUGGGUAGCCUAGUGGUUAGAACGUUGGACUAGUAACCAGCAGGUAGCCUAGUGGUUAGAACGUUGGACUAGUAACCAGCAGGUAGCCUAGUGGUUAGAACGUUGGACUAGUAACCAGCAGGUAGCCUAGUGGUUAGAACGUUGGACUAGUAACCAGCAGGUAGCCUAGUGGUUAGAACGUUGGACUAGUAACCAGCAGGUAGCCUAGUGGUUAGAGCGUUGGACUAGUAACCAGCAGGUAGCCUAGUGGUUAGAACGUUGGACUAGUAACUGUAAAGGUUGCAAGAUGUUGUUUAAAAAUGCAGUAAACCAACAUUGCCACUGUAGUAGGCUACAUGUUGUUUAAAACACAGUAAACCAACAUAGCUACUGUAGUAGGUCAAAGCUGUUAGUUGUAAAACCUUGGUAGUACAUGGGUAAAGUUAGGCCUUGGUGCCCCUUGUUAAACUUCUUCCAAGCACUCCAGAGUCCAGUCCAGUUAGAGGUUCUGAUGCUCUAAUAGUCCAGUCCAGUAAGAGGUUCUGAUGCUCUAAUAGUCCAGUCCAGUAAGAGGUUCUGAUGCUCUAAUAGUCCAAUCCAGUUAGAGGUUAUGAUGCUCUAAUAGGGUGUGGACAUGGAGGGUUGUGGAUCAGAGAUAAGACAGGUAACUGGCUUCACCACCCAGAGGGCAGGUCAUACCGCUUCCUGAGCUGCAUUCCUCUACCGGGGCGGGAGUGGAGCAGAAUAUAGUGUUAGCUAUCCCUCAAUAAGAGGCAGUACUCCAGACAGGCUGGAGAAGAGCAGAAUGUAGCGUUAGCUAUCCCUCAAUAAGAGGCAGUACUCCGGACAGGCUGGAGAAGAGCAGAAUGUAGCGUUAGCUAUCCCUCAAUAAGAGGCAGUACUCCAGACAGGCUGGAGAAGAGCAGAAUGUAGCGUUAGCUAUCCCUCAAUAAGAGGCAGUACUCCGGACAGGCUGGAGAAGAGCAGAAUGUAGCGUUAGCUAUCCCUCAAUAAGAGGCGGUACUCCAGACAGGCUGGAGAAGAGCAGAAUGUAGCGUUAGCUAUCCCUCAAUAAGAGGCGGUACUCCAGACAGGCUGGAGAAGAGCAGAAUGUAGCGUUAGCUAUCCCUCAAUAAGAGGCAGUACACCUGACAGGCUGGAGUGGAGCAGAAUGUCUGCAGGAAGGAGAUGACAUUAUGGCUAAAUGGAGGUACUACGUCUGUCAAGAACUAUGUUGAUGAAAAUGUGUCAAGGUUUUACCUGUAAUUCUGUUGAAUUGCAGGGGUGAAAAUAAAUAACUUAACCCCAGUGAGUGAGUGAGAGAGAGAGAGAGUGUGUGAGAGAGAGAGAGUGUGUGAGAGAGAGAGAGUGUGUGAGAGAGAGAGUGUGUGAGAGAGAGAGUGUGUGAGAG
rnacentral:lncRNA from 1 species